AACGAACGCUGGCGGCAUGCCUAACACAUGCAAGUCGAACGAGACCUUCGGGCCUAGUGGCGCACGGGUGCGUAACGCGUGGGAACCUGCCCUUAGGUUCGGAAUAACUCCCCGAAAGGGGUGCUAAUACCGGAUAAUGUCUUCGGACCAAAGAUCUAUCGCCUUUGGAUGGGCCCGCGUUGGAUUAGCUAGUUGGUAGGGUAAAAGCCUACCAUGGCGACGUUCCAUAGCUGGUCUGAGAGGAUGAUCAGCCACACUGGGACUGAGACACGGCCCAGACUCCUACGGGAGGCAGCAGUGGGGAAUAUUGGACGAUGAGCGAUAGCCUGAUCCAGCAAUGCCGCGUGAGUGAUGAAGGCCUUAGGGUUGUAAAGCUCUUUUACCCGGGAUGAUAAUGACAGUACCGGGAGAAUAAGCACCGGCUAACUCCGUG
rnacentral:rRNA from 1 species